AUGAUUGCGACUGCAUGUCUUGGUUUGUCGCCCUCUCUCUGUCAUCUGCAGAAUAACUACAGGGAGUGUCUGACCCAAGGAGAUAAACUCAGGGAUUUGAAAGGCCGUCGCUCAUCCAGGUCUGCCACCACUUCACGGUUGAAUUUGACAAAGACCAGUCAGACCUCUAUCACCCCUCCCAAGUGUUCCAGGCUAUCUCAGGUCCCUGUCCCCUUCUCCUCCUCCUCUUCUCCCAAGAGGCUGGUGCAAAGCUCCUCAUCAUCAGCUAGUAACCUUAAGAGUCCGUUUAGCCUGAGUAUGUUCAGCUCUAAGGCUACUACCAUUCACUGAGCCCACGUUGAUCACUGACUUUUCAUCUUUGACCUUCUGACCUUCCAGUUGACCCCAGGAGACAGGAGGUUAACCCACGAUAGUCUCUGUUAUAAAUGCACGUUAAAUAACAUUUAAUAAUACAAAAAAAAAUAUCUAAUCCACCCCUGAGACACUCUGUAAAAAAUAAUAUUUGUAACAAUUGGAUUUGUCGACAUGAUCUCAUUUCAAUCAAUGUAAUUGUUUGAUUUCAAAAUGGGUUUAUUAUCAUUGUAAUUGUGUGCAAGGAGAAUGUUUAUCAUGGCUUUCUCUUUCUCUUAUUCAGUUAUUUAAUUGAUUUCUAUUGUUUGAUUGACGCUGUAAAAGAGGACACAUCCUACUGUACACUCAAUUUAUUCAUGAGUGGCUGUCUUAUGAAUGUUGUCAUUCAGGAGAUCCAUUUGUUUUAUGUGAAUACACAUUUGGAUUGUAACAGAAGUGACUCUGGUUGAGCACUUUUUUUCGGACUUGUUUUUACGACUCUUGUUGACAGGCUCGAGACAAUUGUUUUGUUUUAAAUCACUUUAAGUAGUAGGCCUGUAUGGCGUAUAUGGAAUGUAUUUCUGCAAACUUUGCAGAAAUACUAUUAGUACAUUGUCAUUUAAAUUUGAUUAAAAUCAUUCCUUGUUAAAAUAAGUUGUCUUUCUCUGCAAAUGUUAUUUUACAUUUUUCGGCUUAUAUUAAUAUCUCCACCAAUAAAAUAGGGACCAUGUAUAGCAGUUGUAAGGGCAGGAAAUCAACAGAAGUUAAGGCAGAUUGAAGUGCUACUUAAAAAAAAAAUUUUUUUGCAGAUCUUGUGUUUACACAGGCAGCCCAAUUCUGAUUAUUUUUUUCCACUAAUUGGUAUUUUAUGACCAAUCAGAUUUCUUCA
rnacentral:lncRNA from 13 species